GUCUUGGUCACCACCAGGUGACAACUGCACCAAGUAUGAUUGCCAGAAGGUGAAGGAUGAGUUUAUACUUUCUAAAAACCACAUAACAUGUCCUGAAUUUGAUCCAAAGAACUGCAUUCCUGGAACUGAACAAACUGACAUGAAUGGUUGUUGCAAAACCUGUAUUCCUCGUUCCAACUGUCAAAAGAAGACAAACACCACCUAUCUGCGGAUAAAGAA